rnacentral:rRNA from 1 species
UUGUGUACCCCGAAGAAGAAAUUGGGAUUGAGGUUUAGGGACCUUCACAGUUUUAACCUAGCUAUGUUAGCAAAACAGUGCUGGCGACUUCUCUAGAACCAAGAUUCUUUAUCUGCACAAGUUCUUCGUGCUAAAUAUUACCCAAAUGAAAAUUUACUUAAAGCUGGUCCUAAGAAGGGAUCAUCUUACACUUGGCAAAGCAUUGUGGCAGGCAUUCAAACGUUCCAGCGAUUAUGUAUUUGA